rnacentral:rRNA from 1 species
AUGUGGAGCCGUAGCGAAAGCGAGUCUGAAUAGGGCGUUGAGUAUUUGGUCGUAGACCCGAAACCAGGUGAUCUACCCAUGGUCAGGUUGAAGUUCAGGUAACACUGAAUGGAGGACCGAACCGACUUACGUUGAAAAGUGAGCGGAUGAACUGUGGGUAGCGGAGAAAUUCCAAUCGAACUUGGAGAUAGCUGGUUCUCUCCGAAAUAGCUUUAGGGCUAGCCUCAAGUGAUGAUUAUUGGAGGUAGAGCACUGUUUGGACGAGGGGCCCCUCUCGGGUUACCGAAUUCAGACAAACUCCGAAUGCCAAUUAAUUUAACUUGGGAGUCAGAACAUGGGUGAUAAGGUCCGUGUUCGAAAGGGAAACAGCCCAGACCACCAGCUAAGGUCCCAAAAUAUCUGUUACGUGGAAAAGGAUGUGGCGUUGCCCAGACAACCAGGAUGUUGGCUUAGAAGCAGCCAUCAUUUAAAGUGUGCGUAAUAGCUCACUAGUCGAGUGACACUGCGCCGAAAAUGUACCGGGGCUAAACAUAUUACCGAAGCUGUGGAUUGUCCGUAGGACAAUGGUAGGAGAGCGUUCUAAGGGCGUUGAAGCAUGAUCGCAAGGACAUGUGGAGCGCUUAGAAGUGAGAAUGCCGGUGUGAGUAGCGAAAGACGGGUGAGAAUCCCGUCCACCGAUUGACUAAGGUUUCCAGAGGAAGGCUCGUCCGCUCUGGGUUAGUCGGGUCCUAAGCUGAGGCCGACAGGCGUAGGCGAUGGAUAACAGGUUGAUAUUCCUGUACCACCUAGCAUCGUUUUAAUCGAUGGGGGGACGCAGUAGGAUAGGCGAAGCGUACGAUUGGAUUGUACGUCCAAGCAGUGGGAUUGAGUGUUAGGCAAAUCCGGCACUCUUAAGAUUGAGCUGUGAUGGGGAGAGGAAAUUGUUUCCUCGAGUCGUUGAUUUCACACUGCCGAGAAAAGCCUCUAGAUAGAUAAUAGGUGCCCGUACCGCAAACCGACACAGGUAGUCAAGAUGAGAAUUCUAAGGUGAGCGAGCGAACUCUCGUUAAGGAACUCGGCAAAAUGACCCCGUAACUUCGGGAGAAGGGGUGCUCUUUAGGUUGCAAGCCCAGAAGAGCCGCAGUGAAUAGGCCCAAGCGACUGUUUAUCAAAAACACAGGUCUCUGCUAAACCGUAAGGUGAUGUAUAGUGGCUGACGCCUGCCCGGUGCUGGAAGGUUAAGAGGAGU